AAGGCCGGGGGGCGUGCUUACACAUGCAAGUCGAACGGGAUCCAUCGGGCUUUGCUUGGUGGUGAGAGUGGCGAACGGGUGAGUAAUGCGUGACCGACCUGCCCCAUGCACCGGAAUAGCUCCUGGAAACGGGUGGUAAUGCCGGAUGCUCCAUCACACCGCAUGGUGUGUUGGGAAAGCCUUUGCGGCAUGGGAUGGGGUCGCGUCCUAUCAGCUUGAUGGCGGGGUAACGGCCCACCAUGGCUUCGACGGGUAGCCGGCCUGAGAGGGCGACCGGCCACAUUGGGACUGAGAUACGGCCCAGACUCCUACGGGAGGCAGCAGUGGGGAAUAUUGCACAAUGGGCGCAAGCCUGAUGCAGCGACGCCGCGUGAGGGAUGGAGGCCUUCGGGUUGUAAACCUCUUUUGUUAGGGAGCAAGGCACUUUGUGUUGAGUGUACCUUUCGAAUAAGCACCGGCUAACUACGUGCCAGCAGCCGCGGUAAUACGUAGGGUGCAAGCGUUAUCCGGAAUUAUUGGGCGUAAAGGGCUCGUAGGCGGUUCGUCGCGUCCGGUGUGAAAGUCCAUCGCUUAACGGUGGAUCCGCGCCGGGUACGGGCGGGCUUGAGUGCGGUAGGGGAGACUGGAAUUCCCGGUGUAACGGUGGAAUGUGUAGAUAUCGGGAAGAACACCAAUGGCGAAGGCAGGUCUCUGGGCCGUUACUGACGCUGAGGAGCGAAAGCGUGGGGAGCGAACAGGAUUAGAUACCCUGGUAGUCCACGCCGUAAACGGUGGAUGCUGGAUGUGGGGCCCGUUCCACGGGUUCCGUGUCGGAGCUAACGCGUUAAGCAUCCCGCCUGGGGAGUACGGCCGCAAGGCUAAAACUCAAAGAAAUUGACGGGGGCCCGCACAAGCGGCGGAGCAUGCGGAUUAAUUCGAUGCAACGCGAAGAACCUUACCUGGGCUUGACAUGUUCCCGACGAUCCCAGAGAUGGGGUAUCCCUUCGGGGCGGGUUCACAGGUGUGCAUGUCGUCGUCAGCUCGUGUCGUGAGAUGUUGGUUAAGUCCGCAACGAGCGCAACCUCGUCCCGUGUUGCCAGCGGAUUGGUGCCGGGAACUCACGGGGACCGUCGGGGUUAACU
rnacentral:rRNA from 1 species